rnacentral:rRNA from 1 species
AGGGGGCGAGCGUUGUUCGGAAUUACUGGGCGUAAAGGGCGCGUAGGCGGCCGAUCAAGUCAGAUGUGAAAGUCCUGGGCUUAACCUGGGGACUGCAUUUGAUACUGAUUGGCUUGAAUGCAGGAGAGGAUAGCGGAAUUCCCAGUGUAGAGGUGAAAUUCGUAGAUAUUGGGAAGAACACCGGUGGCGAAGGCGGCUAUCUGGACUGUGAUUGACGCUGAGGCGCGAAAGCGUGGGGAGCAAACAGG